GAUGAAGAACUUAGCGAAAUGCGAUAAGUAAUGUGAAUUGCAGAAUUCAGUGAAUCAUCGAGUCUUUGAACGCACAUUGCGCCCCCUGGUAUUCCGGGGGGCAUGCCUGUCCGAGCGUCAUUGCUGCCCUCAAGCACGGCUUGUGUGUUGGGCCUCCGUCCUCCUCCCGGGGGACGGGCCCGAAAGGCAGCGGCGGCACCGCGUCCGGUCCUCGAGCGUAUGGGGCUUCGUCACCCGCUCUUGUAGGCCCGGCCGGCGCUUGCCGACACAUCAAUCUUUUUUCCAGGUUGACCUCGGAUCAGGUAGGGAUACCCGCUGAACUUAAGCAUAUCAAUAAGCGGAGGA
rnacentral:misc_RNA from 1 species